GACGAACCGUGCAAACGUUAUUCGGAAUCACUGGGCUUAAAGCGUGCGUAGGCGGCUCAGAAAGUUGGGUGUGAAAUCCCUCGGCUUAACCGAGGAAUUGCGCCCAAAACUACUGGGCUUGAGGGAGUUAGAGGUGAGCGGAACUCACGGUGGAGCGGUGAAAUGCGUUGAUAUCGUGAGGAACACCGGAGGCGAAAGCGGCUCACUGGGGCUUCACUGACGCUGAGGCACGAAAGCUAGGGGAGCAAACGGG
rnacentral:rRNA from 1 species